GCGCUGGUGGUUCAGUGGUAGAAUUCUCGCCUGCCACGCGGGAGACCGGGGUUCGUUCGAUUCCCCGCUAGCGCA